rnacentral:lncRNA from 1 species
GUCCUAGGGUUUUGUUGUUGUUUCAUGUUUUAACAUUAGAUAUUCAUCAUUUGUCAAAGACUAUAAGCAUUUCUAGUCAUAAUCUCAUAAAAAGUCACUAAACAAUUACUUCAUAAUAAUCAUUUCUAGGCUUUCAUAAUAUGGGAACUCUUUGUUUAGUGCAUUUUCUGAAGGUACAUUUGAUUUUAUAGGUAUGUGUGAGGUAGGAGAUGUGUGGGGGGACUCUUUUGAAGUCAGUUGUCAGGCUAAUUUACGUAUCAAUAAAUAUACAAAAGAAAAAAGAGCAGGUCAGAUUUAUUUUAUGUAAGAGCUGUAUAUAACAUUUUCUGAGAUACAGUAAAUGCAGUUAUAUUCAUGGUAGAGGAGUCAUCAUAGUAUAAUAUUUUUGUAUUAGGUUUUUAAAUUUCAUUUAUUAAUUUUAAAACAAUUGCUUGUCAUAGUUUGUAUCUUCUAAGUCAUAUUAGUCUUCUUUUACACAAAGAAAAAUCUAGCAUUUUAAUGGUUUGUUUAAAUUGAAAUUUAUAACCUGUUUCCAUUUUUACUAUUUUAAUUAUUCUAUUUUCUUUUUUUUUUAAUUCCUUAAUUUUUUAUUCCUGGUACCACUACCACAAUUUACAGGGCAAUAUACCUGAUGUAAUGAAAAGAAAAAGACAAAGCUACAACAGAUAAAAGACCUCAGGAAUGUACAUCUAAUUGACACUACAUUGCAUUAAUCAAUAGCUGCACUUUUUGCAAACUGUGGCUAUGACAGUCCUGAACAAGAAGGGUUUCCUGUUUAAGCUGCAGUAACUUUUCUGACUAUGGAUCAUCGUUCCUUCUGUGGCAGAUUUUUACAGUUCCUCUAAUGCAUUUGGGACGACUGUCUCAAAGUAACCUGCAGCUUUCCUGACAACUCCUCGCUCUCUCUCCUGCUAAGAACUGUAGCCCUUUCUGUUUUAUUUUAAAACCUUCUGCUACCAUAUCCACCACUUCCACCUCCAGAUCCAUAGCCACCACCAUAGGGACUGUCUGAGCUUCUUCCACCAAAACUGCCCCCCUUCAUGGGUCCAUAAUUUGAUUGUUGCUGUCCACUAUAAUUUCCAAAGUCAUUAUAGUUUCCACCACCACCAUAGUUACCUCCACCAAAAUUUCCUCCUUCAUUGUAACCAUCAUAGCCUCCUCCUCCACCACCAUAUCCACCACCCUUCCAUAUCCUGGUCCACCACCUCCAUAACCUCCUCUACUACUGUAACCAGGACCACCACCAUAGUUGCCACCAUCACCUCCAAAUCCAUUAUAUCCACCAUCACCACCUCCAUAACUACCUCUGCUGCCACCACCUCCACCACCAUAGCCACCUCUUCCACCAAAGUUUCCUCCACGACCAAAGUUUCCUCCACCACCUCCAAAGUUUCCUCCACGACCCAUAAAGUUGCCAGAUCCACCUCCACGACCUCUCUGUGAUCCAGCAGACUGCAUCUCUUGUUUAGAAAGGGCCUUUUUCACUUCACAAUUAUGCCCAUUAAUAGUGUGGUAUUUCUGAACAACAAUUUUAUCAACUGUGUCAUGAUCAUCAAAAGUUACAAAAGCAAAUCCUCUCUUUUUCCCACUCUGCCUGUCUUCCAUAACCUCUAUGGUUUCAAUCUUGCCAUACUUUUCAAAGUAGUCUCUCAGGUUAUAUUCUUCCGUAUCCUCUUUAAUACCACCAACAAAAAUUUUCUUCACCGUUAAAUGGGCCCCAGGCUUUACAGAAUCCUCUCUAGAAACAGCUCUCUUUGGUUCCACACACGCCCAUCAACCUUGUGUGGCCGAGCACACAUUGCAGCAUCCACCUCUUCAACACAAGAGUAGGUCACAAAACCAAAGCCUCUGGAACGUUUUGUUUGGGGAUCUCUCAUUACCACACAGUCUGUAAGUGUGCCCCAUUUCUCAAAAUGUUCUCUUAAGCUAUCAUCUGUGGUUUCAAAGCUCAGACCACCAAUAAAUAGCUUCCUCAGCUGCUCUGGUUCCUUUGGAUCAUGGCCCUCCAUUUUGAGACCGGACUCGCCUCUUCCAACUCGAGUUCAAUAUUUAUUCUAUUUUCAAAACUAUUGUUAUUACUUGGCGCAUUGCUCCAGCAUAGAUACAUGGCAAAUUAUUUCUUUGAUGACCUUUCUAAUAGUAUUGAGGCAUGAAAGCACUGAACUUUUUGUAUGUUUACUAUCACGUAUUUUAUUUCUCUAUAUAUAAAGUUGUUGUUCCUAAAAUAACAAUUAUCUGCUUUAGGCUCAUAUAUUCUCAUUUAUGUAUCAGCAGUGAGAAAUUGAGAUUUUUAAAUUGAAAUCCAUAUAAGUUCCAGCAUUAUCAAGCUGAAGUGCUUAGAUAAAAUCUUAGCAAAAUAUAUGUGGGCUGUGUAUGGUGUUAAUGGGCAGACACAGAUGAAAGAGUAAUAGUAAAAAGAGCAGUGUGUCAGGCUGACAGAUGGAGGGAUUGGCAUUUGAGAUUUCGAUGACCUCUAGAUCCCAUGAUGUCACAAUUUAGCUUCUUUUCAGUGCUGAGAAUGAGAAGCAGAGUCCUGAGCAUGUUAGGCAGCUAUUCUGCCAGUGCGCUAUAUACCCAGAUCAUUUGAUGUUCUCUUUUUUGUUUUGUUUUUGUUUUUUGUUUUUUGUUUUUCGAGACAGGGUUUCUCUGUGUAGUUCUGGCUAUUCUGGAACUCACUCUGUAGACCAGGCUGGCCUCGAACUCAGAAAUCCACGUGCCUCUGCCUCCCAAGUGCUGAGACUAAAGGCAUAUGUCACCACUGCCCGGCAAUGUUAUCUUUCUUUAAAAAAUAUUUUUAUUUUAUAUGUAAGAAUAUUUUACUUGAAUGCAUUUAUUUAUGUUAUGUGUACGCCUGGUUCCCACAGAUAGCAGAAAUGGACACUGAAUACCCUGGAAAUAGAGCUACAGAUGGUUGUAAGUCACAGUCUGGGUGCUGGGAACUGAACUAGGCCUCACUGUGAGAGAAGCAAGUGUUUUUAACUGUUGAGCCAUGUCUCUAGCUACUUUUUGAUGUCUUAAUCAAAACUCCAGCUUACUUUUAAAAGCCAAAUAUUGGCAAGCAGAUUCUAAAAGACACAUAGAAAAGCAAAAGAACUUCUAAAAUGAAAUGAAGGAUUAAUGGCUCAGCAAGAAAAGGUGCUUGCUGAGGGGCAGAAACUACUAAGAGUUAUCCUUUGAAUUCCAUCACAUUUGUACUCAUACACACAUGUACACACAGAUGCAUAGGCACACAGAUGCAAUAAAUAAAUAAUAUAAUGAAAAAGUAUUUUUAAAGAAUCUCCUAUAUGUAUAUGAUGAAAUAUGAUCAUGCCUAUCUUUUAUUUCCAUCUCUAUCUCCUCCCACAUGUAUCUAAUACAACUCCUUCCAUCCUCAUUUCUACUCC